rnacentral:rRNA from 1 species
CGGGUGAGUAACGCGUAUCCAACCGUUCCCUAUAGUAGAGGAUAGCCCGGCGAAAGUCGGAUUAAUACUCUAUGUUUCCGUUGCAGACAUCUAAGAUGGAACAAAGGCUUGCCGCUAUAGGAUGGGGGAUGCGUCUGAUUAGGUAGUCGGCGGGUAACGGCCACCGAGCCAUCGAUCAGUAGGGUUCUGAGAGGAAGGUCCCCCACAUUGGAACUGAGACACGGUCCAAACUCCUACGGGAGGCAGCAGUGAGGAAUAUUGGUCAAUGGGCGAGAGCCUGAACCAGCCAAGUAGCGUGCAGGACGACGGCCCUAUGGGUUGUAAACUGCUUUUAUGCGGGGAUAAAGUUCACUACGUGUAGUGUUUUGUAGGUACCGCAUGAAUAAGGACCGGCUAAUUCCGUGCCAGCCGCAGC